rnacentral:rRNA from 1 species
AGGCAGCUUGCCAUACUGCGACUGACACUGAAGCACGAAGGCGUGGGUAUCAAACAGGAUUAGAUACCCUGGUAGUCCACGCAGUAAACGAUGAUUACUAGGAGUUUGCGAUAUACCGUCAAGCUUCCACAGCGAAAGCGUUAAGUAAUCCACCUGGGGAGUACGCCGGCAACGGUGAAACUCAAAGGAAUUGACGGGGGCCCGCACAAGCGGAGGAACAUGUGGUUUAAUUCGAUGAUACGCGAGGAACCUUACCCGGGAUUGAAAUGUAGAUGACGGAUGGUGAAAACCGUCUUCCCUUCGGGGCGUCUAUGUAGGUGCUGCAUGGUUGUCGUCAGCUCGUGCCGUGAGGUGUCGGCUUAAGUGCCAUAACGAGCGCAACCCACAUCGGUAUUGCCUAACAG